UACGUAGGGGGCAAGCGUUGUCCGGAUUUAUUGGGCGUAAAGAGCGUGUAGGCGGCCUUACAGGUCAGCUGUGAAAACUCGAGGCUCAACCUCGAGACGUCGGUUGAAACCGUAAGGCUAGAGUCCGGAAGAGGAGAGUGGAAUUCCCGGUGUAGCGGUGAAAUGCGCAGAUAUCGGGAAGAACACCCGUGGCGAAGGCGGCCCUCUGGGACGGUACUGACGCUGAGACGCGAAAGCGUGGGGAGCGAACAGG
rnacentral:rRNA from 1 species